rnacentral:tRNA from 1 species
GAGGUCUUAGUAAAUUAAUUAUAUAGCCCUGUCAGCACUAAGUUACAGGUCAUUCUGCCUGUAGACCUCA